AACAAGUGUUCUCUUUGCUUUGAAGUCAACCUCUCUCUCUCUCUCUCUCUCUCUCUCUCUCUGUGUGUGUGUGUGUGUAUGUGUGUACUAAGAAUGUACUGCUGUACUGAUCCAUUGUUACUGGACUCGGUUUAUUGAACUUACAAUAGCAGACUGGGUCUAGACCCAGAGGAGUACUUGGAAGGAUUUCCAAUGAGGACAUCUGUUUUAGCUAGAUCGUGGGUGCAACUCUAACCAACAGUAAGUCAGACUGUGGAUGGCCAACAGCCAAAGGGCAGUUUAUAUUGAAAAAAACACCUACAGUUCCUCCCAGUUCCUUCAUGCAAAUGAGAGAUUUAAACUGCAACACAAUGUUCCUUCUUGACUAGCCAAGGCCAAAAUGGGCACAGUGGCUCAUGCUGUAAUCCUACCUACUGCAGAGGCGGAAACAGGAGGAUGACAAGUUCAAAUAUGUUUGGAGGCAGCCUACAAAAGAUAAAGAAGUGAAACUCUACGUUAUUAAGAACAUGGACUGACCUAGAUUUGAACACACUACCUUGACUCUCCAGUUUCAGGGCUGAACACUCUACAUGGCUAACCAAUGGUGGAACUCACACUUGGGAAAGGCUAACUCUCCAUUUCCCAGAAAUCAUAAGUUGUCUAUAGUUUAUUUGUCUAGAGGGGUCCAGGUUGUGAUGGAUUUCUGCUCUAAUCACCUUGUAUGCAGUCCACACUGAUUCUGGCUGUCCCACUAUUCUGCAGCAGGGUUUAUCUUUUAUUUUAUGUUUAUGGAUCAACAGUUUUGUUUGUUUAGUCAUUGUGCUUCACCAGGCCUAGAGCCUUUCAGCUCUGAAGAUCUACAGUCUUCACACACUGAAAUGCCACUCCAACUCCUCUGCUCAGAUGAAUUAUACACACACCGCUGUCUCAUGAGCAUCCAAAGAAAGCCAGCUCAUUCAACAAACGUAUCAAUUGGAAAUGUAGUGCAUAACAAGCACUCAGGUGGUAUUUGUGAUGUGUGUACAUGUUUGCCUGGACCUUGGCCCUAACUGAGGCUUGGGGACAUAUUCAGGAACUGAGGCAGAACACACUGGCCUCAUGAAGAAAGGAAGUGAAUGAACAAUGGCUACAAGCCCAUGUGACUGCAGAGCUCAUACCGUAGACAUGCAUGACAACUGACACAAGGAACACAUAAGGCUACCCCAACGGAGCUGGGGCCAGUCUCACUGACUGAGAGGACUGAUGGCUUCCUCUGCUUCACUGUAAUGACAUCUCCUAUCUUGAGCCUUACAAAACUGCCUGUUCUCAGUGUGCAUCUCCAGAAAAAUCACACACAACUACUCUAUUCUGGGAGGAUCCUGACCCAUUUCUGGAAUUCUCCACCACCUCCCCACUUUAACUCACAAAUAACUCUGGCUCCCACUGAAGUUUUCUGAUAGGAUGCUAUCCAGCAUCUCAGGCAGGGUGUCUCUUUUUAGGAACCCAAACACACUUCUUGAACGCGUCCUUAGUUUCUCCCAGGAAUAAACUUCCUCCAAUUCUUUAUUUUUUACUUGUCGCUGAACUCUAUCUGAUGGUGACAGGAAGUUGUAAAUCAUGAGUAGAAGUUUUGAGCUGGUCUCUCUGUCUCUGAGACUUUCUCAUCCUUUACCAUGAGUGAUAUAACCACAAGAAAAUAACAAAGGAUGUGUAGGAGACUGCAAAUCAAAGUUAUAUGAGCAAAUAAACCCUACUUGAAGUGCCUUCAACAUUUUCACCGGACCAGGUCAGAGAACUUGUUAGCUUCACAGCAGGUCUCAUGAGUAUCUCCUUACCUGCGGGCAUCUUAACACUUACUGCUUCUAUUUACUUUCAUGGCCAGGGCCUGAAUCCAGGUCCUCCUGUGUGCUAGGCACAUGCUCUACUAUUGACCUACACAGUGUGCUGACUCUUUCCAGUCUGAUGUUUAACCACAUCAUCCCUGGACUAGUUUAAUUCAGCUGGUCUUGAAGACAUCAUUUUUCCAACUUCCUUUCAUCCUUUGUCCAUGGUUUCCCUCAUCUACAUCAGAGUUCCUGAUACUCCUCCCUUCCAUAGAUUCAUUGUAUUUUUCUUGUUUCAUGCCUCAUUUCACUAUUGUUGAAAAUGGGACCUCCUGAACAUUAUGUGGUAAUUGUAGAGUUACCAUCUCACCGUUACUUGGGUUUGCUGUUUCUGUCUGCUGUGGGGUGGAGUUAGUUGUUUAGUAAUUUUUCUAAACAUUUUUAUUAGCCUAUAUGUUACAAAUUUUCAAUUGUAAGAAUACAGUUGGAUGACAUUAAGUAAAAUUAUACUGCUGUAUUUUCCAAGCACCACUGCCACCUAUUUACCAAAUGUACUCAUCUCAGACUCACUUCUGCACCCACUAAAUAAUACCUUAUUCUCAUCUCUAACUAGUGCCUGACAACUGUCUUUUUCUGUCUGUAUGUUUACUCUACAUAUUUUAUAUCAUUGGAGUUAUACAAGUAUCUAUCCUUUUUGUCUGGAUAAUUUUGUUUAAUAUAAUGUCUGCAAAUUCU
ensembl:antisense 4930545L23Rik RIKEN cDNA 4930545L23 gene